CUCUAAGAGCUGCCACCUGAUUGAUGCUCAGCCAUAGCUCGGCAGUACUCCUCAUCCUCCUCCGCUGAUGCCCAACAGCUACCCGCAGUAAGGCUUCCUUGCCAGCUUCUAAGAGAUCUCCAGGCACUGAACAGUUUCCUCAGCUAGAAAUCAGCUGAGACCCCUGGCCUACAGACACCUCCUGCUGAAACUAUGUAGCUGCUCCCCUCUGCUGUGCUGUACAGAAUAAAAGGAGCAACUUCCCAGGGCUUGUGCCCAAGCUACAUUUGGUCUGUUGACCAGAAGACUCCAGAUGCCUACAGGAUGCAGUCACCCUUUCCCAUGGACCUCCACAAGCCACCUUCGUGAGGUAU